GCUCCAGUGGCGCAAUCGGUCAGCGCGCGGUACUUAUACAACAGUACGUGUGAAGCUAUGCCGAGGUUGUGAGUUCGAGCCUCACCUGGAGCA
rnacentral:tRNA from 1 species